rnacentral:rRNA from 1 species
CACGUAGGGGGCAAGCGUUGUCCGGAUUUAUUGGGCGUAAAGAGCUCGUAGGCGGCUCGGUAAGUCGGGUGUGAAACCUCCAGGCUCAACCUGGAGACGCCACUCGAUACUGCCGUGGCUAGAGUCCGGUAGAGGAGCGUAAGAAUUCCUGGUGUAGCGGUGAAAUGCGCAGAUAUCAGGAGGAAUACCAGCGGCGAAGGCGGCGCUCUGGGGCCGGAACUGACGUCGUGAGGAA